rnacentral:rRNA from 1 species
GACGAAGGGGGCUAGCGUUGCUCGGAAUCACUGGGCGUAAAGGGUGCGUAGGCGGGUCUUUAAGUCAGGGGUGAAAUCCUGGAGCUCAACUCCAGAACUGCCUUUGAUACUGAAGAUCUUGAGUUCGGGAGAGGUGAGUGGAACUGCGAGUGUAGAGGUGAAAUUCGUAGAUAUUCGCAAGAACACCAGUGGCGAAGGCGGCUCACUGGCCCGAUACUGACGCUGAGGCACGAAAGCGUGGGGAGCAAACAGG